AAGGGGGAAGGGGGUAUGGGACUCCGUGAUCUCUACUCUUUUAAUCUGGCAAUGUUGGCAAAACAAUGCAGGAGAUUAAUUACCGAUCCAGACUCACCGGUUUCAAGAGUGUGGAAGGCUAAAUACUAUCCAAAUGGCUCUUUAGUGCAUGCUACUCAAAAAAACGGGUCUUCGUUUACAUGGCAACGUAUA
rnacentral:rRNA from 1 species